rnacentral:rRNA from 1 species
GACACUCUAUACGGAGUUACAAAGGACGACAUUAGACGAAUCAUCUGGAAAGAUGAAUCAAAGAAGGUAAUAAUCCUGUAGUCGAAAAUGUUGUCUCUCUUGAGUGGAUCCUGAGUACGACGGAGCACGUGAAAUUCCGUCGGAAUCUGGGAGGACCAUCUCCUAAGGCUAAAUACUCUCUAGUGACCGAUAGUGAACCAGUACCGUGAGGGAAAGGUGAAAAGCACCCCGGAAGGGGAGUGAAAUAGAACCUGAAACCGUGUGCUUACAAGUAGUCAGAGCCCGUUAAUGGGUGAUGGCGUGCCUUUUGUAGAAUGAACCGGCGAGUUACGAUUUGAUGCAAGGUUAAGCAGUAAAUGUGGAGCCGUAGCGAAAGCGAGUCUGAAUAGGGCGUUUAGUAUUUGGUCGUAGACCCGAAACCAGGUGAUCUACCCUUGGUCAGGUUGAAGUUCAGGUAACACUGAAUGGAGGACCGAACCGACUUACGUUGAAAAGUGAGCGGAUGAACUGAGGGUAGCGGAGAAAUUCCAAUCGAACCUGGAGAUAGCUGGUUCUCUCCGAAAUAGCUUUAGGGCUAGCCUCAAGUGAUGAUUAUUGGAGGUAGAGCACUGUUUGGACGAGGGGCCCCUCUCGGGUUACCGAAUUCAGACAAACUCCGAAUGCCAAUUAAUUUAACUUGGGAGUCAGAACAUGGGUGAUAAGGUCCGUGUUCGAAAGGGAAACAGCCCAGACCACCAGCUAAGGUCCCAAAAUAUAUGUUAAGUGGAAAAGGAUGUGGCGUUGCCCAGACAACUAGGAUGUUGGCUUAGAAGCAGCCAUCAUUUAAAGAGUGCGUAAUAGCUCACUAGUCGAGUGACACUGCGCCGAAAAUGUACCGGGGCUAAACAUAUUACCGAAGCUGUGGAUUGUCCUUUGGACAAUGGUAGGAGAGCGUUCUAAGGGCGUUGAAGCAUGAUCGUAAGGACAUGUGGAGCGCUUAGAAGUGAGAAUGCCGGUGUGAGUAGCGAAAGACGGGUGAGAAUCCCGUCCACCGAUUGACUAAGGUUUCCAGAGGAAGGCUCGUCCGCUCUGGGUUAGUCGGGUCCUAAGCUGAGGCCGACAGGCGUAGGCGAUGGAUAACAGGUUGAUAUUCCUGUACCACCUAUAAUCGUUUUAAUCGAUGGGGGGACGCAGUAGNAUAGGCGAAGCGUGCGAUUGGAUUGCACGUCUAAGCAGUAAGGCUGAGUAUUAGGCAAAUCCGGUACUCGUUAAGGCUGAGCUGUGAUGGGGAGAAGACAUUGUGUCUUCGAGUCGUUGAUUUCACACUGCCGAGAAAAGCCUCUAGAUAGAAAAUAGGUGCCCGUACCGCAAACCGACACAGGUAGUCAAGAUGAGAAUUCUAAGGUGAGCGAGCGAACUCUCGUUAAGGAACUCGGCAAAAUGACCCCGUAACUUCGGGAGAAGGGGUGCUCUUUAGGGUUAACGCCCAGAAGAGCCGCAGUGAAUAGGCCCAAGCGACUGUUUAUCAAAAACACAGGUCUCUGCUAAACCGUAAGGUGAUGUAUAGGGGCUGACGCCUGCCCGGUGCUGGAAGGUUAAGAGGAGUGGUUAGCUUCUGCGAAGCUACGAAUCGAAGCCCCAGUAAACGGCGGCCGUAACUAUAACGGUCCUAAGGUAGCGAAAUUCCUUGUCGGGUAAGUUCCGACCCGCACGAAAGGCGUAACGAUUUGGGCACUGUCUCAACGAGAGACUCGGUGAAAUCAUAGUACCUGUGAAGAUGCAGGUUACCCGCGACAGGACGGAAAGACCCCGUGGAGCUUUACUGUAGCCUGAUAUUGAAAUUCGGCACAGCUUGUACAGGAUAGGUAGGAGCCUUUGAAACGUGAGCGCUAGCUUACGUGGAGGCGCUGGUGGGAUACUACCCUAGCUGUGUUGGCUUUCUAACCCGCACCACUUAUCGUGGUGGGAGACAGUGUCAGGCGGGCAGUUUGACUGGGGCGGUCGCCUCCUAAAAGGUAACGGAGGCGCUCAAAGGUUCCCUCAGAAUGGUUGGAAAUCAUUCAUAGAGUGUAAAGGCAUAAGGGAGCUUGACUGCGAGACCUACAAGUCGAGCAGGGUCGAAAGACGGACUUAGUGAUCCGGUGGUUCCGCAUGGAAGGGCCAUCGCUCAACGGAUAAAAGCUACCCCGGGGAUAACAGGCUUAUCUCCCCCAAGAGUUCACAUCGACGGGGAGGUUUGGCACCUCGAUGUCGGCUCAUCGCAUCCUGGGGCUGUAGUCGGUCCCAAGGGUUGGGCUGUUCGCCCAUUAAAGCGGUACGCGAGCUGGGUUCAGAACGUCGUGAGACAGUUCGGUCCCUAUCCGUCGUGGGCGUAGGAAAUUUGAGAGGAGCUGUCCUUAGUACGAGAGGACCGGGAUGGACAUACCUCUGGUGUACCAGUUGUCGUGCCAACGGCAUAGCUGGGUAGCUAUGUGUGGACGGGAUAAGUGCUGAAAGCAUCUAAGCAUGAAGCCCCCCUCAAGAUGAGAUUUCCCAACUUCGGUUAUAAGAUCCCUCAAAGAUGAUGAGGUUAAUAGGUUCGAGGUGGAAGCAUGGUGACAUGUGGAGCUGACGAAUACUAAUCGAUCGAAGACUUAAUCAA